UUACACUACAACAAUCAAGUCUGAUGAUGGCAGAUGGUAUAACUUUGAUAAUACCAGAGUCUCAGUGCAUCAUCAGCCAUUCCAGAUGGAUAACCAGGUGGAGAAAUCGAAGAGUGCUUACCUGCUUUUUUACAAGAAAAAGAAAAUGGAGGAUGCAGAUACUUGUACUCAAGAUACCAAUGAGUGUCCACUCCUGAAGGCCUACCACUAGACAUCAAUGAUAACAACCAACGUCAAGAUGCUGAAAAGAGAAGAGAGAAGCAU